rnacentral:rRNA from 1 species
AUUGAACGCUGGCGGCAUGCUUUACACAUGCAAGUCGAACGGCAGCGCGGGCUUCGGCCUGGCGGCGAGUGGCGAACGGGUGAGUAAUACAUCGGAACGUGCCCAGUAGUGGGGGAUAGCUCGGCGAAAGCCGGAUUAAUACCGCAUACGACCUGAGGGGGAAAGCGGGGGAUCUUCGUACCUCGCGCUAUUUGAGCGGCCGAUGGCAGAUUAGCUAGUUGGUGGGGUAAAGGCCUACCAAGGCGACGAUCUGUAGCUGGUCUGAGAGGACGACCAGCCACACUGGGACUGAGACACGGCCCAGACUCCUACGGGAGGCAGCAGUGGGGAAUUUUGGACAAUGGGCGAAAGCCUGAUCCAGCAAUGCCGCGUGUGUGAUGAAGGCCUUCGGGUUGUAAAGCACUUUUGGCGGGAACGAAAAGGACUGUGCCAAUACCACGGUUCGAUGACGGUACCCGCAGAAUAAGCACCGGCUAACUACGUG